ensembl:lncRNA
UGGCAUGUUUGGUUUUGAAUAUACAUGCAAGCGCACAGAGGAAACACACACACACGGAACUCAGCACAGAGGGUGUAAAAGCAUAGAGUGAAAAGUCAGGGUGGCUCUCCACUGCCCGCGAGUCCACACUCCCUGCACCAAAUCCAGUGUUUGCAGUGUCUCAGAUCUCCUGAGAGGCUGCGAGCAGCUACGCACACAAUCGAGUUGGUCUUCUUGCCUUUUCCUCCAACUGGCAGCCCGCUUUACAUUUGGGCCUGCCUUUUCUCCCUAGGAUGAACCCAUAUUUCCACCACUAGACAGCAAAGAAUCUGUCUGCAAUGCGGGAGACCUGGGUUCAACCCCUGGGUCAGGAAGAUCCCCUGAAGGAGGGCAUGGCAACCCACUCCAGUAUUAUUGCCUGGAGAAUUCCAUGGACAGAGGAGCCUGGCGGGCUACAGUCCAUGGGGUCGCAAAGAGUUGGACACGACUGAGUGACUUUCACUUUGCCGAGGAAUAAUAACCAUAAUGUUCACAAUAAUAAUAACGGCAGCAAAGGUUUCCAAAGGAUUUACUGUGUGCUGGGCAUGGUUCCAGAUGCUUUACAUGGAUUAAUGAAUGCAUCAGAAAGGUGAAGCGAUCCUAUCAGGAGGUUCUAAUCUCCAUUUUGUAGAUGGGGAAACUGAGGCCUGGAGUGUCAAGGCGCCUCCCCAGUGGCACACAGCUGUGCUUGGCAGAGGUAGGACUCAGACUCAGGCAGGCGGGCUCCCAGGUCUGUGCUCCAAAAUCCUUCACCAUCCGGCCCCUCCCUCUGCUUUCUGGAUGGAUCUGGUGGUCUUGACGGGUGACAGGUGAUGUACCACUGGGCUUAUCUCCAUCUUGCUGCUGCUGCUGCUAAGUCACUUCAGUCGUGUCCGAUUCUGUGUGACCCCAUAGAUGGCAGCCCACCAGGCUCCCCUGUCCCUGGGAAUCUCCACACUGGAGUGGGUUGCCAUUUCCUUCUCCAAUGCGUGAAAGUGAAGUCGCUCAGUCGUGUCCAACCCUCAGCGACCCCAUGAACUGCAGCCUACCAGGCUCCUCCAUCCAUGGGAUUUUUCAAGCAAGAGUACUGGAGUUGGGUGCCGUUGCCUUCUCUGAUUUCAAUCUUGGGCUGGUGCUAAAUGUGCUAUGAACACCCUCCUGGGACGUCACGCCAUGUGGAACUGCAAGGAGGUCCCAUCUCGGAAGUGCCUGGCCAGACAGGAGUGAGCAGUGCAAUGGCCGACAGCCACUGCCCAAGUGUUGUCUUGGUGGUGAUGUUGGAGGUGAUGGUGAUGAUGCUGGUGGUGAUGCUGGAGGUGAUGGUGGUGAUGCUGGAGGUGAUGUUGGAGGAUGAUGUUGGAGGUGAUGCUGGAGGUGAUGCUGGAGGUGAUGGUGGUGAUGCUGGAGGUGAUGGUGGUGAUGCUGGAGGUGAUGCUGGAGGUGAUGCUGAUGCCUGAUCCAGUUCCCCAGAAGAAGGGAGAAAUCCACAGCUGCCACAUCCUGAGCCUAUCUCCGGGGUUACUUGACCUCCCUCCUGUUCUCUGAUGGGUGGACAGGACUCCAGGCUCCCCUCCCGUCUGCCUGCCUCCAGCCACCGUGGUCCCCCAGUCCCGGCUCCACGCAGUGGCUGGAGCAACGGUAAAACCUAAGUUGGGUCAGGCCUUUUCCAGCUCCCCCCUGCCCUCUCUCUCCCUGCCCCCAUCCAGGCCAAGCCAGAGGUGGGUCCCCCAACUGCCCCGCCCACUCCCCCACCUGCUGCAGGGGCCAGCCCUGGCGCCUAGGACACCCCCACCCACUCUUCACCUGGCUACAUCCUCUGGUCUGAACGCACAGCCUUCCCCAAGUGCCCAGACUGAGGCAGGCAGGGCCUCCCCUGUCCACCCACCCCCAACAACCUGGGCCCCUGAGAAUCUUAGCUUGACUCACACUAUCUCUGAUGGCUGUCUCUACUAACAGAAUAUCUACAGAGAUUUUUGCCUGUUUUCUUCGUUUCCAUAUCCCUGCAGACUGGAGUUUAGUAGGUGCUCAAAAAAGUUGUUGAGGGACUUCCCUGGUGGUCGAGUAGCUGAGACUCGGUGUUUCCCAUGCAGGGGAGCUCCUGGUCGGGGAGUUAAAAUCCCACAUCCUAUGGAGUGCGGCCAAAAAAUUUAAAAAAAAAUUACUGACAGGGUGAAGGUAUGAAUGAACGAAUGAGUCCGUGGGGAGCCCAGAUCUGUGGGCAGAACGCCUGUUCUGGGGUGGGUGGGGUCCGGGCCGCCCCCCACCCAGG